rnacentral:lncRNA from 1 species
UAGACUAGUACUCUUCAGAGUGGUUCUUUUUCUUGCUACACUCUUAUACAUCACUCGGCUACCUGGUUCUUUUAGCUGCGGUGGUGCCAAUAUUCUGAUAAAGGGUCAGCCAUGCAUGGCGGAGGUGGUCCGGGCGGAGGUGGAGGUCCAGGAGGAGGAGGGCCUGGUGGAUGGGGUGGAGGUCCUGGAGGGGGUGGCCCUGGUGGAUGGGGAGGAGGACCCGGAGGGCCAGGAGGACCAGGAGGGCCAGGAGGACCAGGAGGACCAUGGGGUCCUGGCCCGGGAGGCCCGGGAGGACCUUGGGGUCCGGGGCCUGGCGGACCUCCUUGGGGUCCGGGAUUUGGCGGACCUUGGUGGGGAGGACCUGGUGGCUUCUUUGGUGGGUUUGGCAAUGGCCUAUGUGACAUGAUAUCUUCUUGGUAAGUAUGAGUUUUGAUAUCUUGGCAUUUCUUGUGACUUGUUUCUGUUAGCUUGCAACAUGUCAAGUAUAUUAGACUGAAAACUACAUUGUGUUGUGAUUGGCAAAAUGGCAGCUUCUACUGCUUGUGCUGCUGCUGUUUGCUAGAUGAAUGCUUUGGUGGACCUCGUGGUGGAUUUGGACCUCCUGGAGGACCCGGAGGACCUCCUCCCCCAUUCUGAUAGUUUGUUUACUACUACUACAUUGAGGUUUCUGCAUCUGUAUUUUAAUGUAGCACUUAAUAAUUGAGAGCUCUACAUAUUAAUAGUCAUGCAUGUUACAAAGCUCUCUGUUGGACGCAGCUUAUUAUCACC